rfam:Daphnia pulex DAPPTscaffold_580_Cont10065, whole genome shotgun sequence.
UCCCAUAUUGUCUAGUGGUUAGGAUACCUGGCUCUCACCGAGGAGGCCCGGAUUCAAUUCCCGUUAUGGGAA